CUACGGGAUGCACCAGUGAGGAAUUUUGCGCAAUGGGGGAAACCCUGACGCAGCAACGCCGCGUGAGUGAUGAAGGCUUUCGGGUCGUAAAACUCUGUCAAGUGGGAAGAACCUGCAAUAUGCUAAUAUCAUAUUGCACUGACGGUACCACUGAAGGAAGCACCGGCUAACUCCGUGCCAGCAGCCGCGGUAAUACGGAGGGUGCAAGCGUUACUCGGAAUCACUGGGCGUAAAGGGCGCGCAGGCGGUUCGAUUAGUCAGAUGUGAAAGCCCGGGGCUUAACCCCGGAAGUGCAUUUGAAACUGUCGAACUUGAGUAUGGGAGAGGGAAGUGGAAUUCCUGGUGUAGAGGUGAUAUUCGUAGAUAUCAGGAGGAACAUCAGUGGCGAAGGCGACUUCCUGGACCAAUACUGACGCUGAGGCGCGAAGGCGUGGGGAGCAAACAGGAUUAGAUACCCGCGUAGUC
rnacentral:rRNA from 1 species